rnacentral:tRNA from 1 species
GCCCUCGUAGCUCAGGGGAUAGAGCGCCGGAUUCCUAAUCCGUAGGUCGCAGGUUCAAAUCCUGCCGAGGGUACCA